rnacentral:rRNA from 1 species
CCUGCCCGGUGACCUGAGGUUUAACGGCCGCGGUAUCCUAACCGUGCAAAGGUAGCGCAAUCAAUUGUCCCAUAAAUCGAGACUAGUAUGAAUGGCUAAACGAGGUCUUAACUGUCUCUUGCAGGCAAUCGGUGAAAUUGAUCUCCCUGUGCGAAAGCAGGGAUAAACCCAUAAGACGAGAAGACCCUGUGGAACUUUAAAACCAGCAGCCACCCCAAAUAACAUAAAACCCCAUCGGGCUCACUAACACAUAAGCCACUGGCCUGCGUUUUUCGGUUGGGGCGACCUUGGAGAAAAACAAAUCCUCCAAAAAUUAGACCUUACCUCUAGACUGAGAGCAACCCCUCAACGUGCUAAUAGCAACCAGACCCAAUAUUAUUGAUCAAUGGACCAAGCUACCCCAGGGAUAACAGCGCAAUCUCCUUCGAGAGUCCAUAUCGACAAGGAGGUUUACGACCUCGAUGUUGGAUCAGGACAUCCUAGUGGUGCAGCCGCUACUAAGGGUUC